rnacentral:rRNA from 1 species
GGGACGAGCCCAGCACCGAAUCCCCCGGCAUGCAGCCGGCGGGAAAUGUGGUGUGUGGGACGCCAACUGUCGUCCGCGCUGGAGACCGAAGUCCUCCUGAUCGGGGCCUCUCCCACAGCGGGUGUCAGGCCUUUACUGGUCUCUGGCCGGGCGGCUGCGAGCGUCUCAGGAGUCGGGUUGUUUGGGAAUGCAGCCCAAAGCGGGGGGGAAACUCCAUCUAAG